CUCACUCAUCUCUUUGUAUUCCUUUUCUUGCAUACCUUCAAAAGUUGCUUCCCCAACUAAUAUUCUUCUCUUUCUUUCCCCCGUUCUCUCUAUGCUUCACUUUCCCCUUUCCUCUAUCUGAGUUUUCAAAAGGGUUGUCACAAUUUUUUUCUUAUGGGGUGUUGUGAAUCCACUUUUCUGACAGAAACCCAUCCCGAAAAGCUCCAAUCCCAGCAGCCUGCACCUCCGUAUGUUGCGGUGGAGCCUCCGCCGCCGCUGCCGCCUGCCGUUGGACCUGAACCGACGCAGCUCGGGGAAAUGGUUUCCACUUUCUCUGAGUUCUCCUUCUCCGACCUUAAGGCGGCUACCGACAAUUUCAACUCCAACUUCAUAGUCUCAGAGAGCGGCGAGAAGGCUCCCAACAUUGUGUACAAGGGUCGACUUCAUAACCGCAAGUGGAUCGCUGUUAAGAAGUUUACGAAGGUGGCUUGGCCGGAUGCCAAACAAUUUGUGGAAGAGGCUUCGGGAGUUGGGAAGCUACGGCAUCCAAGGUUUGCGAAUUUGAUUGGGUAUUGCUGCGAUGGUGAUGAGAGGCUGCUUGUUGCGGAGUACAUGCCUAAUGAUACUCUUGCAAAGCAUUUAUUCCACUGGGAAAAUCAAACCAUUGAGUGGGCCAUGCGGUUGAGAGUUGCUUACUACAUUGCUGAAGCCUUGGAAUAUUGUACCACGAAAGGUCGUGCAUUGUACCAUGACUUGAAUGCAUAUAGAGUUCUUUUUGAUGAGGGUGGCGAUCCACGUCUUUCAUGUUUUGGGUUGAUGAAAAACAGUCGGGAUGGUAAGAGUUACAGCACAAAUCUGGCCUACACACCACCUGAGUAUUUGAAAAAUGGAAGGGUAACCCCUGAAAGUGUUAUUUAUAGCUUUGGUACUGUCCUCUUGGAUCUUCUGAGUGGCAAGCACAUCCCUCCAAGUCAUCGAGUGCAGGCUCUUGAUCUGAUUCGAGGAAAGAAUAUCAUUCUCUUAAUGGAUUCGCAUUUGGAAGGAAAAUUUUCUACAGAAGACGCAACUGUGGUUGUUAAUCUUGCUUCUCAAUGUUUACAAUAUGAACCUAGGGACAGGCCUAACACAGAGGAACUUGUUUCAACUCUUGCUCCAUUGCAAACAAAAGUAGAUGUUCCCUCCUAUGUUAUGCUUGGAAUGAAGAAGCAGGAGGAUGCCCCAGCAGCCCCUGUAGCCCCUGUAGCUCCAGCAGCCCCUGUAGCUCCACAACGCCCUUUAUCGUCGAUGGGUGAGGCCUGUUCGAGGAUGGAUCUCACUGCAAUUCAUCAAAUCUUGGUUAUGACACACUACAGAGAUGAUGAAGGAACUAAUGAGCUAUCUUUUCAAGAGUGGACACAACAGAUGAGAGAUAUGCUGGAAGCAAGAAAGCGUGGGGAUUUUGCCUUUCGGGACAAAAAUUUUAAAGCUGCAAUCGACUGCUAUUCACAGUUCAUAGAUGUAGGAACUAUGGUUUCCCCAACCGUGUUUGCUCGACGAAGCCUAUGCCAUUUGUUGUGUGAUCAACCCGAUGCAGCACUUCGGGAUGCAAUGCAAGCACAAUGCGUACACCCAGACUGGCCCACAGCCUUCUACAUGCAAUCGGUUGCCCUUGCAAAGCUGGAUAUGCAGAAAGACGCAAUUGACAUGUUGAACGAAGCAGCUGCGUUAGAAGAGAAGAGGCAACGAGGUGGACGAUGAUCACUAAAAUGAACCUACUCAACAUUGCUGUAAUUACAAGCAUACUGGUGUUGUUUGUUGCUGAGGCUACCACAAUUUGUAUAAAGUGUGAGCUGAUUUCAAUGUUGGGCCAAAUCACCAGUACAGGAGAGAGGCUAGGAAAAUGGGUUCAGUUAUCAGUAGUAGAUUUGAUUUUUAGGAGUCUGCUAACAAAAGGGCUCCUUGUCCUCCCCUUUCUCAGCAAAACAAGACAUGACAGCCAGAAUCAAGGACAUAACCAUUAUUACUCUUCCAUUUCCUUUUCCCCCCUUUUCUUUUUCAUUUGAUAUUUUAUCCCAAAUAUGUGUCCGUACUAUCUAAAGGAUCUAGGACUUUUGGUCGUGAGUAUAAUAAAUUAAUAGUAAUAUGAAAAGUGUAUUCUAUUUUAUUACCUUUGUAGUUGUUUAAUUCUAUUCCUAAUUGUUAUGAGAUUCAUUUCUAAGUCUGUAACCAAAACCAAAGAACGUAGUUCGGUUGGGAAAUGAAGGGUGAUAAAAUCUAAUUAUAUUUUCGAGAUUA